rnacentral:rRNA from 1 species
CCUACGGGCGGCAGCAGUGAGGAAUAUUGGUCAAUGGGCGAGAGCCUGAACCAGCCAAGUCGCGUGAAGGAUGAAGGAUCUAUGGUUUGUAAACUUCUUUUAUAGGGGAAUAAAGUGAGGAACGUGUUCCUUUUUGUAUGUACCAUAUGAAUAAGCAUCGGCUAACUCCGUGCCAGCAGCCGCGGUAAUACGGAGGAUGCGAGCGUUAUCCGGAUUUAUUGGGGUUAAAGGGUGCGUAGGCGGACAGUCAAGUCAGCGGUAAAACUGCGCUGCUCAACGCCGUACAGCCUUUGAAACUGGCAGUCUUGAGUGGGCGAGAGGUAUGCGGACUGCGUGGUGUAGCGGUGACAUGCAUAGAUAUCACGCAGAACUCCGAUUGCGAAGGCAGCAUACCGGCGCCCGACUGACGCUGAGGCACGAAAGCGUGGGUAUCGAACAGGAUUAGAUACCCGGGUAGUC